GACGAACGCUGGCGGCGUGCUUAACACAUGCAAGUCGAACGGAAAGGCCCCUUUGGGGGUACUCGAGUGGCGAACGGGUGCGUAACACGUGAGUAACCUGCCCUUGACUUCGGGAUAACUUCAGGAAACUGGGGCUAAUACCGGAUAGGAAUCCUUGCUGCAUGGUGGGGGUUGGAAAGCUUCGGCGGUUUUGGAUGGACUCGCGGCUUAUCAGCUUGUUGGUGGGGUAGUGGCUUACCAAGGCUUUGACGGGUAGCCGGCCUGAGAGGGCGACCGGCCACAUUGGGACUGAGAGACGGCCCAGACUCCUACGGGAGGCAGCAGUGGGGAAUAUUGCACAAUGGGCGGAAGCCUGAUGCAGCAACGCCGCGGGCGGGAGGACGGCCUUCGGGUUGUAAACCGCGUUCAGCAGGGGCGAAGCUUGUGGUGACGGUACCUGCAGAAGAAGCACCGGCUAACUACGUG
rnacentral:rRNA from 1 species